rnacentral:rRNA from 1 species
AAGGGCCUACGGGACGCAGCAGUGAGGAAUAUUGGUCAAUGGGCGGUAGCCUGAACCAGCCAAGUAGCGUGAAGGAUGAAGGUUCUAUGGAUUGUAAACUUCUUUUAUAAAGGAAUAAAGUGAGGCGCGUGCGCCUUUUUGUAUGUACUUUAUGAAUAAGGAUCGGCUAACUCCGUGCCAGCAGCCGCGGUAAUACGUAGGAUCCGAGCGUUAUCCGGAUUUAUUGGGUUUAAAGGGAGCGUAGAUGGGUUGUUAAGUCAGUUGUGAAAGUUUGCGGCUCAACCGUAAAAUUGCAAUUGAUACUG